rfam:Gossypium raimondii Chr05_contig_437, whole genome shotgun sequence.
AAUCCAUGAUGUAGGCAUCUCUGUAUCAGUGUUUUAAAAUGCUUCCAAGCUUCAUGAAAGCUUUCUCCUUCUAAUUGUUUGAACGUUGCAAUCUCUCUCUUUAGUU